rnacentral:tRNA from 1 species
UAGCGAAAUCAAACAACGCGCCUGUCUAGUGAGUAGGAGUCGUGAGUUCGAGUCUCAC